rnacentral:tRNA from 1 species
UCCCUUAUAGCUCAGUGGUAGAGCGCGUCACUAGUACAACUUCUUCGGAAAGUUGGAAAUGACGAGGUCCAUAGUUCAAGUCUGUGUGAGGGAA